GAUGAACGCUGGCGGCGUGCCUAAUACAUGCAAGUCGAGCGAACAGACGAGGAGCUUGCUCCUCUGACGUUAGCGGCGGACGGGUGAGUAACACGUGGAUAACCUACCUAUAAGACUGGGAUAACUUCGGGAAACCGGAGCUAAUACCGGAUAAUAUAUUGAACCGCAUGGUUCAAUAGUGAAAGACGGUUUUGCUGUCACUUAUGAUGGAUCCGCGCCGCAUUAGCUAGUUGGUAAGGUAACGGCUUACCAAGGCAACGAUGCGUAGCCGACCUGAGAGGGUGAUCGGCCACACUGGAACUGAGACACGGUCCAGACUCCUACGGGAGGCAGCAGUAGGGAAUCUUCCGCAAAGGGCGAAAGCCUGACGGAGCAACGCCGCGUGAGUGAUGAAGGUCUUCGGAUCGUAAAACUCUGUUAUUAGGGAAGAACAAAUGUGUAAGUAACUAUGCACGUCUUGACGGUACCUAAUCAGAAAGCCACGGCUAACUACGUG
rnacentral:rRNA from 1 species